GAUGAACGCUGGCGGCGUGCCUAAUACAUGCAAGUCGAGCGAACAGACGAGGAGCUUGCUCCUCUGACGUUAGCGGCGGACGGGUGAGUAACACGUGGAUAACCUACUUAUAAGACUGGGAUAACUUCGGGAAACCGGAGCUAAUACCGGAUAAUAUAUUGAACCGCAUGGUUCAAUAGUGAAAGACGGUUUUGCUGUCACUUAUAGAUGGAUCCGCGCCGCAUUAGCUAGUUGGUAAGGUAACGGCUUACAAAGGCAACGAUGCGUAGCCGACCUGAGAGGGUGAUCGGCCACACUGGAACUGAGACACGGUCCAGACUCCUACGGGAGGCAGCAGUAGGGAAUCUUCCGCAAUGGGCGAAAGCCUGACGGAGCAACGCCGCGUGAGUGAUGAAGGUCUUCGGAUCGUAAAACUCUGUUAUUAGGGAAGAACAAAUGUGUAAGUAACUAUGCACGUCUUGACGGUACCUAAUCAGAAAGCCACGGCUAACUACGUG
rnacentral:rRNA from 1 species